GGUAUCUUCCUUUGAAAAACUCUUCAACUUGUUUGAUUCCAAGGCAACAAAGGAAAAGGAGGAUGGUGUUCUUGUUUCUAAGGAAAUAUAGCUGCUGAGCAAACUAAGUCAAGUGUCAAGGAAAAUGAGAGAGUUACUGGUGGUGAGGCAAAUGAGGGAGUUACUGGUGGUGUUUAUUGGGCAGCGGAAACACCUGUUGUGAAUGAUUCAAACAUAUAGCAUGACAAAGAACUCACUGAUAAAGUUUUGGCCAAGUUAAACAUGUCCCCAAUUGUGCUUCAUAGGCAACAUGCCAAAAAAGAAGACAUGACACAUGAAGAAUUGGCUCGGAAAAAGUUUCCAGCAAAAUGUGUUUCUUCUCCAUUUGUGGUAGAUUUUGGUUCUGAUAUAAGUGGCACAUCAAAGUCAGUGCCCAAGUACAUUUUUGGGGAGAAGUAUCCUUUUGUGAACAACAUUGAUGGGUUUGAUCCCUAUUCACCUAAAGGUAGAGCAUUUCUUUGAGUUUGUUGAUGAUGGGAUGAUUUCAACACAAAGGUAGCUUCAUUGUUUUAAGAUUUUUCUUUUCUAUUUACAAUGAUCCGUAUGUAAUGAUUAUUUUUCAUUUUCAUGAUUUUAAAGCCCCAAAGAGAUUUAUCCUGAGGAAAAAAAAAAUAUGUCUGUGCCUUUAAUUUUUGGAUCAAUUUAUGUGA